GAACGGGUGAGUAACACGUGAGAAACNUGCUUCGGAGUGGGGAAUAACUCGGGGAAACUCGAGCUAAUACCGCAUACCUUCAGAUGAUCGCAUGGUCGACUGAAGAAAGAAUUUCGCUCUGAGAGGGUCUCGCGGCCUAUCAGCUUGUUGGUGGGGUAACGGCCCACCAAGGCAACGACGGGUAGCUGGAUUGAGAGAUCGAUCAGCCACACUGGAACUGAGACACGGUCCAGACUCCUAUGGGAGGCAGCAGUGGGGAAUCCUGCGCAAUGGGCGAAAGCCUGACGCAGCAACGCCGCGUGCGGGAUGAAGGCCUUCGUGGUUGUAAACCGCUUUCAGCAGGGACGAAAUUGACGGUACCUGCAGAAGAAGCCCCGGCUAACUACGUGCCAGCAGCCGCGGUAAUACGUAGGGGGCAAGCGUUGUCCGGAAUCAUUGGGCGUAAAGAGCUCGUAGGCGGUUCAGUAAGUCGGGUGUGAAAGCUCCGAGCUCAACUCGGAGAGGCCACCCGAUACUGCUGUGACUAGAAUCCAGUAGGGGAGCGUGGAACUCCUGGUGUAGCGGUGAAAUGCGCAGAUAUCAGGAAGAACACCAGCGGCGAAGGCGGCGCUCUGGGCUGGAAUUGACGCUGAGGAGCGAAAGUGUGGGUAGCAAACAGGACUAGAUACCCUGGUAGUCCACACCGUAAACGUUGGGCACUAGGUGUGGGGAGGAUCAACCCUUUCCGUGCCGUAGCUAACGCAUUAAGUGCCCCGCCUGGGGAGUACGGCCGCAAGGCUAAAACUCAAAGGAAUUGACGGGGGCCCGCACAAGCGGCGGAGCAUGUUGCUUAAUUCGAGGCAACGCGAAGAACCUUACCUAGGUUGAAUUACGCAGGAAAAGCUACAGAGA
rnacentral:rRNA from 1 species